AGCCUCUUUGGCCAGUUGUCCUAUACUCUGGUUUGUCUGUGGAUCUCAUAAUAGGAUUAUCUGUUCUAAGUACACAAGAGCGACUGAAGGAGAAAAUGAACCAAACACAGACGGGAGCUUCUUCAAAUAUACCUGUGUUUCUAGCAACAAUGGAAAUCCUGUGUUCACUGUGUGGAGGCUCUGAUGUAAUCUGAGGGAGACGUUUGGAUUAUUGUUGUGAAGAUGGCAGCUAAUGAAGUGAUGCCUUCUGAGCGGUUGCAGCCUGAUGCAGAGCCCAGCAGCUACCGCCUGCGCACCUUGCUGGGCAGUGAGGACAGUGAAGAAGAAACCAGUCAAGAGGAGCCGCCAAUCACGAGCUGGAACGAGCUGUCCAUCAUA